rnacentral:rRNA from 1 species
UACGGAGGGGGCUAGCGUUGUUCGGAAUUACUGGGCGUAAAGCGCGCGUAGGCGGACUCUUAAGUCGGUGGUGAAAUCCUGGAGCUCAACUCCAGAACUGCCUUCGAUACUGAGAGUCUCGAGUCCGAGAGAGGUGAGUGGAACUGCGAGUGUAGAGGUGAAAUUCGUAGAUAUUCGCAAGAACACCAGUGGCGAAGGCGGCUCACUGGCUCGGUACUGACGCUGAGGUGCGAAAGCGUGGGGAGCAAACAGG